rnacentral:misc_RNA from 1 species
CACCUGGAGUUUACACGCUUCAGGAUCUGAGAGCAUAUGGGAGGGAGAAAGGGUGGUGUCCAUACUUCUUAGCACGGCAUAUGGUGCAGUUUGCAAAUGUGGUGGUUUAUAGUUACCAAUACUUGCUUGAUCCAAAGGUAGCUGGAAUUAUAUCGAAGGAAAUGCAAAAGGAAUCUGUAGUGGUGUUUGAUGAGGCACAUAAUAUUGAUAAUGUCUGUAUUGAAGCACUUAGUGUUAGUGUGAGAAGCAAGACACUUGAUGGGGCUUCCAGAAAUCUGUCAAGGAUAAAUCAGGAGAUUGAGAGGUUCAAGGCCACUGAUGCUGGUAGAUUGCGUGCUGAAUAUAACCGGCUCGUUGAGGGUUUGGCACAGCGGGGAAACCUGGCUGCCACAGAUACAUGGCUUGCAAACCCUGCCUUGCCUGAUGAUAUUCUGAAGGAGGCAGUUCCUGGCAAUAUUCGUCGAGCGGAGCAUUUUCUGCAUGUCUUACGUAGAUUGGUUCAAUACCUGAGAGGGCGGUUGGAUACUGAAAAUGUUGAGAAGGAAAGUCCUAUUAGCUUUGUUGCCUCUUUAAAUACCCAUGCUGGAAUUGACCAGAAAACAUUGAAGUUUUGUUAUGAUCGCCUACACUCACUUAUGCUGACACUGGAAAUAACGGACACAGAUGAGUUCUUACAUAUCCAAACAAUAUGUGACUUUGCAACACUUGUGGGGACAUAUAGUCGUGGAUUUUCCAUCAUAAUUGAACCUUUUGAUGAGAGAAUGCCACAUAUUCCUGACCCUGUAUUGCAGCUUAGCUGCCAUGAUGCUUCUCUUGCCAUAAAGCCAGUAUUUGAUAGGUUCCAGUCAGUUGUGAUUACUUCUGGAACGCUGAGCCCUAUUGACCUCUACCCUCGUCUUCUUAACUUCCAUCCUGUUGUCAGUCGAAGCUUUACAAUGUCCUUGACAAGAGAUUGCAUAUGCCCUAUGGUUCUCACUCGUGGAAGUGACCAACUUCCAGUAAGUACCAAAUUUGAUAUGAGAAGUGAUCCAGGUGUUGCAAGAAACUAUGGGAAGCUGUUGGUGGAGAUGGUAUCUGUUGUUCCAGAUGGAAUUGUAUGCUUUUUUGUCAGUUACUCUUACAUGGAUGGAAUUAUCAACAGCUGGAAUGAAACUGGAGUUCUUAAGGAAAUAAUGCAACAUAAGCUUGUAUUUAUUGAGACCCAAGAUGUGGUAGAAACUACAUUGGCUCUUGACAACUAUCGCAGGGCUUGUGAUUGUGGGAGAGGUGCAGUCUUUUUCUCCGUUGCCAGGGGAAAAGUAGCCGAAGGAAUAGACUUUGAUCGACACUAUGGUAGAUUAGUGAUCAUGUUUGGUAUUCCUUUCCAAUAUACCUUAAGCAAAAUAUUAAUUGCACGGUUGGAGUAUCUACGGGACACAUUUCAAAUAAAGGAGGGCGAUUUCCUAACAUUUGAUGCCUUGGUAUGAUUCUUCUGCUAUUUUUAAUAUUGUAUGGAUCAAAAAUCAAAAUUUAUGUUCUACUGUGAGGUUUCAGGUUUUAUGUCUGCUUUAGAGAUUAUGAUCAUAUUCUUGGGAUUCUGUUGAAACAGAGACAAGCUGCUCAAUGUGUGGGCCGAGUGAUCAGGUCAAAGGCUGAUUAUGGAAUGAUGAUAUUUGCUGAUAAAAGAUAUAGCCGUCAUGACAAGCGCUCAAAAUUGCCUGGUUGGAUACUGUCGCAUUUACGUGAUGCAAACUUGAAUUUGAGCACUGACAUGGCUUUGCAUAUUGCACGCGAGUUUCUCCGGAAGAUGGCUCAACCAUAUGAUAAAACAGGCACUGGCGGUAGGAAAACAUUGCUGUCACAGGAAGACCUGGAGAAGAUGGCUGAAAAUGGAGUACAAGAGAUGUUGUUUUAAGGAUUUAUUCCGACAAGUUUUCACUUAAAGAUGUUUGGUCAGCUUUUCAUUCAAUGUUCUUGCAGCAUGAAGAAUUGGUUUUAGCAUUGGGAUUUUGAUGUUGUGAGAUGCUUUAUUGGACUUCGGAAGACAUCACAAUAUGUAUACUGUUGCUUAGGUCCCCGUGCGUGCCAAAGCUUCUGCAUAAGGCUGCUUCCAAAAGUUCAAAAAGUAUGGCUAACAAAAUGUAUUAAUGAAAAUCUGAGCACUCGACUCUGCUCUGCAAGACGAGGAUCUAAUCAAUAGAAAAUGAUUGAUAAUUCACUCCAUACAAGUGCCAAGUGAAGUUAUUAAGCUGAUUGUGCUUAGCGUUUACUGUUGCAUUGAAAAUAAUCAUUAUAGCCGUACUUUUGAUCGACUCAAAGGUUAGUGCAACUGUUAGCGAUGCCCAUUUCUAAUGCUAGUUUUGUUAAUUAUCUGGCCAAAUGGAACAAUAAAAAUAUUUUAUUUCUUGGUGCUAAAAAUAAUACAUGCUACGCUGAAACUUAAAGGACUUGUCGAUUACAUUUCAGGAAUGACCUCCUGGUCUCAACCCUGCAAUAAUAUGUUUCUAAAAUUAUACACACCUAACUGAGAUGAUCAUCACUUACAAAAAGGAGAAGAAAAAGGGUAAAAGCCUUAGGUAAUCUACAACUACAAAUACAGAAAAGUCAGUCACGAGGAUUAGGGAAUUAUCUGAUGGAUUGCCCUCUUUACCUCCACAAUGCUUACCUUCUUUCCAGCA